rnacentral:rRNA from 1 species
CAGCCGCCGCGGUAAUACGUAGGGCGCGAGCGUUGUCCGGAAUUAUUGGGCGUAAAGGGCUUGUAGGCGGUUGGUCGCGUCUGCCGUGAAAUCCUCUGGCUCAGCUGGGGGCGUGCGGUGGGUACGGGCUGGCUUGAGUGCGGUAGGGGAGGCUGGAACUCCUGGUGUAGCGGUGGAAUGCUCAGAUAUCAGGAGGAACACCGGUGGCGAAGGCGGGUCUCUGGGCCGUUACUGACGCUGAGGAGCGAAAGCGUGGGGAGCGAACAGGAUUAGAUACCCCAGUAGUCCCUGUCUCUUAUAC